rnacentral:sRNA from 1 species
GCUGGGCGUGGUGGUGAAUGCCUGUAAUCCCAGCGGCUCUGGAGGCUGAGACAGGAAGAUCGCAAGUUCAAAACCUGUCUCAGCAACAGCAAGGUGCUAAGCAACUCAGUGAGACCCUGUCUCUA